rnacentral:rRNA from 1 species
GAUGAACGCUAGCGGGAGGCUUAACACAUGCAAGUCGAGGGGUAUAGUAGCAAUACUAGAGACCGGCGCACGGGUGAGUAACGCGUAUGCAACCUGCCCUUUACAGGGGGAUAGCCCGGAGAAAUCCGGAUUAAUACCCCAUAGUACUAUUUUGUCGCAUGGCAAGAUGGUUAAAGUACCAACGGUAAAGGAUGGGCAUGCGUGACAUUAGUUUGUUGGCGGGGUAACGGCCCACCAAGACUACGAUGUCUAGGGGUUCUGAGAGGAUGAUCCCCCACACUGGUACUGAGACACGGACCAGACUCCUACGGGAGGCAGCAGUGAGGAAUAUUGGUCAAUGGGCGCAAGCCUGAACCAGCCAUCCCGCGUGAAGGAUGAAUGCCCUAUGGGUUGUAAACUUCUUUUAUGUACCAAGAAUAUGCCUUACGUGUAGGGUAUUGACGGUAGUGCAUGAAUAAGCAUCGGCUAACUCCGUGCCAGCAGCCGCAGUAAGAC